UAUGUGCACACGUACCUUGUCUGUCGUUUGUAAUUUCAGCCACAAAUCAUCCCAACAAACCUGCUAAAUGUAAUGCUAAUGGUGUUAGCAAGCUUGUUAGCAUUCGGUUUCAGUGACUGAAAUUAGUUGUUUUAUCAAAUAAUUUUCUUCUGUAGUCCGUAAUACAGGUGUUGGAUAUAAAAUAAGAUGAAGGUGGUAACGUGUGAGAUUGCAUGGCACAACAAGGAGCCAGUCUACAGUCUGGACUUCCAGCACAGCACAGAUGGACGCAUUCACCGGCUGGCCACAGCUGGAGUGGACACAACAGUCAGAGUGAGUGGAGAAAGAGAGAGAGAUGAUGAUACAUCUGGUUAAUGCAGUGAGACGUGUCCGACCAAGAGUCACUUUUAACCAUGUACAUGCAUUUGUCUAGGAAAGGAACAGUGUCACACAGCAAAGCAAAUGUUAAUACUACGUGCAUGAAUUUGACCGUUAAAUCAAACGAAAUGGUUGCAGCUGUGAGGGCAAAUGUGCAUGCCCACAGGAGGUUCACACUUUCUGUCGAACAAAACGUCAUGUAACAUUUCAUAUUGGCAUACUUAAGAGAACGUGGGGCCUUUUCCAGGACUUGAAUGUGUGACACACAGGAUUCCCCCGAACAGCUCAGUAUUCAGAUUUUUACUUAUUGUUCUGUUCCACAAACUUUGUCCCACCAAACUAUAUCAAUGGGUACGAUUUAAAAAAAA